UGUGUCCCUUUGCGGGAAUUUGCAAGGCAGUGCAACGAGGGUUUGGGAAGUAAUGGGGCACCCCUGAGUUCCUGACCCCCAGCAAGGCCGACCAUUGAUCAAACAGUGGUCGAGACGGAACUACAAGAGACUUCGGAAGCAGUGAAAUCAUUCAGUGGGAAAAGGAAGGAAGCCGGCGCAGGCCCAUGAAGACAACAGCUGCGACUCUCUCGGCACCACCUGAAGGGCGCGCUGGGGGCAGCUGACCAACACGCAUCACAGGACACGCAUGUCAGCCUGUGCGAAGUGAAGCUGUGGUCUGGUGAGAAAGGGCGGGUCACCUGCGCCCGUGGUGGCGUGUUGCUUGCUCACGA